UAGCGUAUAUUAAAGUUGUUGCAGUUAGAACGCUCGUAGUCGGAUUUCGGGGCGGGCCGACCGGUCUGCCGAUGGGUACGCACUGGUCGGCGCGUCCUUCCUUCCGGAGACCGUCUCACUCUUAACUGAGCGGAGGCGGGAGACGGAACGUUUACUUUGAAAAAAUCAGAGUGUUUCAAGCAGGCAGCUCGCUCUUGCAUGGAUUAGCAUGGGAUAAUGAAAUAGGACUUUGGUGCUAUUUUGUUGGUUUCGAACACCGAAGUAAUGAUGAGAAGGGACAGUCAGGGGCACUCGUAUUCCGCCGAGAGAGGUGAAAUUCUCAGACCAGCGGAAGACGAACCACUGCGAAAGCAUUUG
rnacentral:rRNA from 1 species